rnacentral:rRNA from 1 species
ACUCCUACGGGAGGCAGCAGUAGGGAAUCUUCCACAAUGGACGCAAGUCUGAUGGAGCAACGCCGCGUGAGUGAAGAAGGUUUUCGGAUCGUAAAGCUCUGUUGUAAGAGAAGAACGUGUGUGAGAGUGGAAAGUUCACACAGUGACGGUAACUUACCAGAAAGGGACGGCUAAAUACGUGCCAGCAGCCGCGGUAAUAC